rnacentral:rRNA from 1 species
CGAGUCUUAAUUGGGCGUUAAGUUGCAGGGUAUAGACCCGAAACCCGGUGAUCUAGCCAUGGGCAGGUUGAAGGUUGGGUAACACUAACUGGAGGACCGAACCGACUAAUGUUGAAAAAUUAGCGGAUGACCUGUGGCUGGGGGUGAAAGGCCAAUCAAACCGGGAGAUAGCUGGUUCUCCCCGAAAGCUAUUUAGGUAGCGCCUCGUGAAUUCAUCUCCGGGGGUAGAGCACUGUUUCGGCUAGGGGGCCAUCCCGGCUUACCAACCCGAUGCAAACUGCGAAUACCGGAGAAUGUUAUCACGGGAGACACACGGCGGGUGCUAACGUCCGUCGUGAAGAGGGAAACAACCCAGACCGCCAGCUAAGGUCCCAAAGUCAUGGUUAAGUGGGAAACGAUGUGGGAAGGCCCAGACAGCCAGGAUGUUGGCUUAGAAGCAGCCAUCAUUUAAAGAAAGCGUAAUAGCUCACUGGUCGAGUCGGCCUGCGCGGAAGAUGUAACGGGGCUAAACCAUGCACCGAAGCUGCGGCAGCGACGCUGAUGCGUUGUUGGGUAGGGGAGCGUUCUGUAAGCCUGCGAAGGUGGCCUGUGAGGGUU